rnacentral:lncRNA from 1 species
CACCACAACACUAUCUGUUGCACCUUGAAAGACUCCAAAAAGAUAUAGGUGGAGAUUAUUAGCAAGAACACUUGAAACUAAAAACAAAUUUCUAUCCAAACAGUUAGUGAAGUAAAAAUUCUCACACGCAUGCGCGAACUAAUUCCUAGUUAUUAUAACAUACUGUAUAAAUUACUAGUAUGGAGUGCUCUUAUCUUUUUUUUUAACACUGAAGGAAUACCAUUCAAAUCCAAAGGCUGAUGCAGCCAAAAGUAGCAUGGUGGACAAAGGUCAACACCUAUCAAACAGAAAAAAAAAAACCAACCCAAUAGGGAGGAAACACUCAUCCGGAAAGAAUAAAAGAUAAAGCUAAGACAAAGAGACAGCCACUAAGGGUCUAGACCCUAGGAACGUGGCACCUACGACCAAGGUCUAGACGUCUCCUGCAAUCGCGUGCUGAAGCCAAGAUGGACCAUUCAGUGCUAUAUAAGAUUGGUACCGAUGAUCAGAAGUUACACUCUCCGCUAUACUCAAGGCUAUAGAGUUUCUUGCUGGGAGAAUGUAGUUGAGGCUCCAACCCCUCAAAUGAUGUAGUUGAGAUCUGAUGGAACAUGACACCCGAGAGGAUUCAGGAGCACAAACCUGACCAUCCCCAUUAUAUAAUACGCGCCGUGCGUGAGCAAAGGAAGACUCAAAUAUUAUGUUGUCAAGCCUCAACGAUUUCAUACUCUCAACUGCCCAUAAGAUUGCCCAAAGUUCAGCUUCUUCAAGUGAUUGAAUCCUAGAGUAAGAGCGUCGACUGUGCAUAAGCACACUCCCUCUUGAGUCUCGAGUAAUCCAUGAAGCACCACAAUUGACCACCCCACUCACCCAUGAUACACCAAUAUUACAUUUAAUCAUACCUGGGGGAGGAGCUUGCCAAGUUGAAACCUGCGGUUGAUCAAUGACCAGAUCCUGAGAUCUCAUUUGAUCCGGAUAGUUAGCCACGAACCACUCCUCUGCUUCUUCCUCAGCUUUACCCAAGAUUGAAGCAGGAGAUAACCGAGUCUUGUCAAAAAUCAAUCCAUUUCUGGCUUUCCAUAUAUGCCAUAAGAUCCAGGGAAUACUCUGUUUGAGUUUGGUCGGAACGUCUUUGCUUUUAGUGCACGCAACCAAGUGAUGUAAGUUAAGGAAAACAGAGUUCAUAGACAAACCCAAAGGAGGCAUAGGCAGUCUCGCUGCUCUCCAUACAUCUUGUGCAGCCGGGCAAGUGAAAAGGGCAUGACAAAUUGUUUCCGGUCCCAUUCCACAGUUCUUACAUGUAGUAUCUACUUGGAUUCCCCUCGAUCUCAAACGAUCAGAUACAGCCAAAGCUCCAGCCAACGUUCUCCAAACAAAAUGGCGUAUCUUAGGAGAGGUUUGAAGCUUCCAAAUACUCCGCCACAUCAUCUUCUCAAUUGGGGGAAGAGUCCGGUGCUGAGUAUCAUUAAAAUUCGCAAUGUUUUCCAGUAACUUAUAUCCAGACCGAGAGGAAUAGUGACCAUGAGGAGUAAAGCCCCACACUAGAGCAGCCGUCUGAUGUCUUUCCACAUGCAUUUCCAGUAUAAUAUUUGCAUCCUCAGCAACAAAUAGACUUCGCACCUUUGUUGCAUCCCAAUAAUUUGUAUGAGGGAUCAGAAGAUCAGAGACUGUAAGUGUGAGAUCAACUUGAGCAUCCAUACGGUACAUAGGGGGGCGCGGAAAAGGCCCCAUGAUCCAGUGUUCUGUCCAAGCUUUUGUAGAUGUACCAUCACCAACUCUUUUGAACAGACCCUUCUCCAGCAGCUCCCGGCCAUGGAGAAUACUCCUCCACGCAAAAGACGGUCUUGAACCAAGCCCACAGUCCAUAAAGGAACUAUUCUUCCAAUAUUUGCUCUUUAGAACCUUAGAGACAAGAGAUUCAGGAUUCAUAAAAAUACGCCACGCUUGCUUUGCCAAUAAAGAUUGGUUAAACCUGCUAAUAUCAUGAAAGCCAAGACCCCCUUCUUCUUUGCUUUUGCAGAGCUUUUGCCAGGCCACCCAUGGGAUCUUCUUCCGAUUAGAUCCACUACUCCACCAAUACUCCACCAUAGCGCUGUUAAGUUUUUCACAAAGGUCUUUGGGCAGCUUAAAAACAGACAUCGCAUACACAGGGAGCGCCAGCGCAAUAGAUUUUAGCAAUAUUUCUUUUCCUCCUUGCGAAAGCGCUUUCGCAUACCAGCCAUUCAACCUUCCAUGCAGCUUUUCUCGGAUGAAGUUCAGAAGCUCGACUUUUGACCCUUGGAAACAUUCCGGUAAACCAAGGUAAGUACUAUCUCCUCCUUCUUUAUCUAUCUCCAAGAUCCUUUUGACCUCAGUACGUAUGUGAUCUGGUACUUUGGCUCCAAAAAUCACGGAAGACUUCAGUUUGUUUAUCAUUUGUCCAGACGCUUCACCGUAGCGUCGAAGGCAGUCAAUCACAACAGUACUCUCCUCUUCUGAGGCUUUACACAUAAGAAGGCUGUCGUCAGCAAAUAAGAGAUGAUGCACAGCCGGGCCUUGAGGGCCGAGUUUAAUACCAUGGAGCUUCCCUUUUUCCUCAGCCGUAUUAAGAGUAUGCACAAGAGCCUCAGCACAUAGAAUAAAGAGAAAAGGAGACAUAUGAUCACCUUGUCGGAUUCCUCUCUCUGGCUUGAUGAACCCAUGCGUCUGGCCAUUUAACAAGACUGUAUAUGUCACUGUGCUAACACAAGACAUCACCCAGCAAACCCAUUUUCGGUCAAAACCCAUAUUUUCGAGCAGAGCUUCCAAGAAGGCCCACUCCACCCUAUCAUAUGCCUUUGACAUGUCCGUCUUUAUGGCCAUAUGCUGCUUCCCGAUCGCAUCAUUGGUUCGUAGUCCAUGCACCAUUUCAUGAGCGAUAAUUGUGUUAUCUGAUAUGAGACGUCCCGCAACGAACGCACCUUGCGUCUCUGAAAUUAUCUCCGGCAUAACACACUUUAGUCUCUGACACAGAAUCUUGGACACAAUCUUGUACUGGACGGAGCAUAGACUAAUGGGUCUCAUGUCCGUCAUCUUUGUGGGUUUCUGAAUCUUGGGAAGUAAACACAACUGAGUGUGGUUCCAGCCAGCAGGUAGAAUCGCUGAGGUAAAGAAACUUUGGACCUCCCUUAUGACAGCCUCGCCAACCACAUGCCAAAAUUUCUUAUAGAAAGUGCCAGUUAGGCCAUCCUCACCAGGCGCGCUAGAUCCUCUGACACUGAAUGCAGCAGCUUUGAUUUCAUCAGAGGAGAUUGGUCGCGUCAGCAUAUCAUUCAUCGUAGGCGUAACUCGACUAUUAAAACCGGCAAAAAGCGAUUCCAAGUCAUGUGGGUUAGAACUCAUGAAAAGCUCCGUAAAGUACUCAACAGCCAGGUUACCUUUUGCUCCUUCUGAGAAAAAUUCUGUUCCUCUUUCAUCUUGUAGCAUCAGGACCUUGUUCUGAGACUUCCUCCCGUUGACACUAUUGUGGAAAAAGGAUGUGUUGUUGUCGACCUCCUUCAGCCAUAGCUCACGGCUUUUCUGGCGCCAGAAGAGUUCUUCCUGACGAUGAGCUUCUGACAACUCAGCUUUAAGCAUCUUCAUAGUCUGAUGGUCAGGAAAACGCUUAGCUAUCUCAGCUUCUAGUUUGGUCGAGAGCCUCUCAAUGUUGCUCUGAGCAUUAAGAUUGGAACCACGCUUCCAUCGCGCUAGUUCCUUUCUACAAUUGGCAAUGCGAUCCAUGAUAUGAUUUUCCCCACUCAGGUUUGAUAUGUUCCAUCCUCUUAUGACAGCAUCUUCAAACCCUUCUUUUCCAAUCAUUUGUUGAUCGAAAUAGAAUCUUCCGUAACUUCUAUCAUCAGGUUCCAGGGCGAAACACAACUUGAUAGGUCUGUGAUCAGAAGCAUACAUCCGCAUGUACUCUGUUUUGGAUCUCGGGAACAACUGGAACCAACUAUCGUUCCCAAAACUUCUGUCUAGACGACGCUGAACCCACACUUUGUCUUUACGACCAGCACCAUUAACCAUUUCUCUCCAGCCAGCCCAUGAGAGAGAAUUGCCAGAGCUCCUAGUCUCCUUAAUUUUACAUGAGAUAGCCAGGUUACGAAAGUCCCAAAAUGUAGACUCAUGUCUCUGUGCUCCCCCUUCCUUUUCAGCAUUACUCAUCAGCUCGUUAAAAUCGCCAAGAAGUAACCAAGGCUCAUUUCUCGUGACUCCAAUGGACACAAGAUCAUCCCAAACAAAACGUCUAUUUUCUCUAAUGGGGUCUCCAUACACGCAUGAGAUGUAAAAGACCAAGGACCCCAACCUAACUCUGAUGUCAAUGAUCCUGUUACUGCUUGAUAGGACCUCCACAUCAUAACUCUGCUUCCACAACAACGCUAGACCACCACUGCGACCAACAGGUUCCACCGUCACCAUUUUAUCAUAACCCAACUCUAACCGAAGAUCAUCCAUAAACUUGAAUUUUUGUUUUGUUUCCAUCAAGAAAAAGAGGUCAGGGAAAUAUUUUCUCCUAAUAUUCCUCAACCUCUGAACUGUCUCCGAGCUACCAGCUCCUUGACAGUUCCAACUCCAAAUGCUCAUUGGGAUGGCAGCAGCUUCAAACUGGAAGCCACCGUAGAGUCUGAAACUUUUUUGUUUUUGGGUUCUGCCGCAGGCAAAGAAGAUAAGGCUUUCCUCUUCGAGCUGGACAUCAGUUCUGGUUCGCUUGGGGGAGCUGAAAGAGCAGGUAGUUCCUCCCUGCCCAAAUCUCUCCUUUUCCAAGAAUGGGGACGUCUCCUUUGGGCCUUGUUUCCUCUGAUGCUUCCUGUGACACGCCCUUCCGAAGAAGGGCCAAGCUGAAAACCCGACGUAGUUAUAGGUGUUGAUUUAGCAGAGAAAGCAGACCCUGAAGAGGUUGAUUCUUCAUCAAUCUUAUCUCCUCCAUACUGUGGCGCAACAACAAGUGGAAGAGAAGUACCGCAUUGCUGUGAGAGCAAGAGAUCUGUGUAAGAGAAGACAUGACCCUUUCCUUUGUCCAGCUCUUUUGUGAUGCGUGUAAGAUGCACAGAAGAAGCAGCAAGGUUAUCUGCGAUCCCUUGCUUAACACGUUCAAUUCGCGCCAACCGUUCAGUCGGGUCAGCAUGUGAGAUGUAGAGCAUCGCCAUCUUACGAUCUUCACCAGACAACUCCGGAAACAUCACAGGAAAACCAGGGGGGCCAUUUGAGAGAACUGAAUGAGUUUGGUCAUUACGUUCUGAUCUCGGGGCUUCAGCGACUCGCUGCACUCUACCAGCUCCUUUCUUGAUAAAAGGGCAUUUAAUCUUCUCAUGAGUAAGCCGCAAGCAGUGGAAACAUCGCUUGUGGAUCUUCUCAUACUCAAACUCAAUAGUAACUGUUCCCCCUUUAACCUUAAGCCUACGAGCAGCUUUAGCAGGAUUGUUCGUAUCAAACAGCACAAGAGCCCUGAUAUAAUCCUUCGUGUGCGACACCUUUGGAUCAUAAGCUACUUCCUCAACCUUGCCCACCUCAGACGCGAGCUUAUACAUAGUCUCAAUCGUGAAGAAAUUAACAGGUAUGUGUCGGAUGCGGAUCCAGACAAACAUGGAUUGAAGAAAGUCAUCUGGAGGGUUUGCAGUCCAACGUUCUAGUACCAUAGUCCAAUGAUUGUAGGACCAAGGUCUAUCAUUCAGCACUGUCACGAGGUCCUCUUCUCGUUGGAAAACGAACUGGAAUCUGUCCCGAGACAGGGCAAUUCCACGAACUCUAUCGUACACUCUCCAGGCCGUGGGCAUGUACUCAAUCAUUCUAGCCAUCGAUUGACAGUCGGGAUUCAGCAACCUCCCCAACAAACUUGUUUCGUUUUCAUCAAAGACCCUGAAACGGGGACUGUCGGGUAAGGUCAAAGGCUCCUCUUCUUCCAAGGACAUAGCUUGAAUCGCCUUUUGCAGUAAAUCAGCCAUCUCUUCUCGACAGAUGAAAAUUCCGGCGCCGGAGGAUAGUUGGGGAUGCGAAAACUUAGGUAAGAGAUCAAGCGUGAUUGAGGUAAAUUUACCUCUAAUACCACAAAAUUCGGUCAUGAUUUUUUGGGAAAUCAUCUUCAAGGAAAGUCUUGGAGAGUGGGGAAAACGAUAAUGGAAAGUUCCAGAAAAAAAUUUAAUGGAGAGAAGGCUCGAAACACAACAGAAAUGGAAAUAGGGAGAUUGGGUGUUUAAGACUUCCCAAAAAUAAAUGACCGUAGCAAAGGCCGGCGAUUGGGAUCCACUCGAUGAGAGGGAGAAACGAAUAUCAAAAAAAGGAAAGAAUAUCCCGACCGACGAUACACUGGAAAUCGUCCAAAAAGAGAGAGAAAAAAGCCUGCAAGUCUUGAGAGAGUGAUCUGCUUAUUAACUAGUUGUGGAGUGCUCUUAUCAAAAAGAAAAAGAAGAAUUGGUUCAAGUUUUCCAUGACACGAUAAUCGAAGUGCCGUAUGUGUUUCAAAUUCACGAUGCCAGCGAGGAGCGGAAGCUUGCCGGCAUCACCUCCGUCUCCUUUUCAUUCCCUUCUCUCUACUUUGACAACGGUUUAUACGUUUAUUUUUAUUCUCACUCAAAAGUUAUUUCUCUUCGGCUUAUAUGGAUUUUAAUCAACAUACAAGAGAGAUACGAC